GACGAACGCUGGCGGUGUGCUUAACACAUGCAAGUCGAACGGUAAGGCCCUUUCGGGGGUACACGAGUGGCGGACGGGUGAGUAACACGUGAGUAACCUGCCCUCUUCUCUGGGAUAACAGUCGGAAACGGUUGCUAAUACUGGAUAUGAGCUUGCAAGGCAUCUUGUGGGUUGGAAAGAUUUUUUUUGGUUGGGGAUGGACUCGCGGCCUAUCAGCUUGUUGGUGAGGUAGUGGCUCACCAAGGCUUCGACGGGUAGCCGGCCUGAGAGGGCGACCGGCCACAUUGGGACUGAGAUACGGCCCAAACUCCUACGGGAGGCAGCAGUGGGGAAUAUUGCACAAUGGACGGAAGUCUGAUGCAGCAACGCCGCGUGCGGGAUGACGGCCUUCGGGUUGUAAACCGCUUUCAAUUGUGACGAAGCUUUUUUGUGACGGUAGCAGUAGAAGAAGCACCGGCUAACUACGUG
rnacentral:rRNA from 1 species